AUGAUGGGGAAGUCUCGUGUGGCGCCACUGAAGCAGACCACUAUUCCACGUAUGGAGUUGAUUGCUGCAGUUGUUGCUGUUAAAACAGACAAGAUGCUGAAAGAUGAACUGGAACUAGAAUUGCAUGAAUCUGUAUUCUGGACUGACAGCACCACUGUUUUGAGAUGUAUUGACAAUGAAGGUCUCCGUUUCAAAAUGUUUGUUGCAAACAGAGUUGCCAUCAUACGAGAGUCAACUAGACCACAACAGUGGAGGUACGUCAAUACCUCUAUGAAUCCUGCUGAUUGUGCAUCCAGGGGACUUACUUGUGAAAGGUUCAUGAAAAAUGUGAGCUGGAUCAAUGGUCCUUCUUUUCUCAAAGAACCAGAAAGCUACUGGCCUGAGACAAAUCAUGACCUAUCAAAUUAUGUGAAUGACAAUGAGGUUAAACACUCAGUAAAUCUUCUGUAUGCAGUGGAUGACACAGAUGCUGUGAACAAAUUGAUCAAUUAUUACUCAGAUUGGUACAAAUUAAAGAGAGCCGUGGCAUGGAUCCUUCAUUUCAAAAACAUGGUUAUACUGCGCAGCAAUCAAGUAACAGUCAAAAACAGAAAAGUUCUGAGUUGUAAAACAAAUUCCACAACAGAAAACUGCAAAGCUCUAACAAUGCAGGACUUAACAAGGGCUAAAAAUGAGAUCAAGUUCACUCAAAGUCAAAGAUUCAAAGAAGAAAUGUCCAUGUUGCAAAAAGGUAAUACAUCUGUGAAAAAGAACAGUUGCCUUUCUAAAAUGGAUCUGACACUUCAGGGUGGAUUGCUAAGAGUUGGUGGUUGUCUUGGUAGAUCUGCAAUGUCUGAGCAUGCAAAGCAUCCCAUCAUUAUACCCAAAGACUCAAAUGUCACAACUUUAAUCUUAAGAGACAUUCAUGAGAGAAUUGGACAUUGUGGAAGGAACUAUAUGCUGUCAAAGUUGCGACAAAAAUUCUGGCUUCCUUCUGCAAACUCCAUCGUUAGGAAGUUUCUCUCCAGAUGCGUGACAUGUAGAAAGAUCAGAGCAAAGGCUGCAGAGCAGAAAAUGUCAGAGCUGCCACUCGACAGAAUAAUACCAGAUCAACCACCCUUCACCAAUGUCGGGGUUGAUUACUUUGGACUGUUUGAGGUCAGACAAGGGAGAAAUAACGUUAAAAGAUAUGGGGUAUUGUUUACCUGCCUGACAACAAGAGCUGUACAUAUUGAAGUUGCACAUACACUGGACACCGACUCAUGUUUAACCCUUUAA
rnacentral:lncRNA from 1 species